rnacentral:lncRNA from 1 species
AUGCUUAUUAACAGAGACAAUGGUAAACCAAAAAGGAAGCUACUGAUAUUCCUUUAUUUUUCUUAAGUCUUUGUUUAGUAAAUUCUGUGCAAGAUCUUGCCUUUUAAUUAUUGAGGGCACAAUGGGAAUAAAUGUUAAAAGAAUAACUAAUAAUAUUUGCUUGGAAUUCCAGGGAGUAAAGUUUGUCAUCAGCUUGAAACAAUGGCCUUUUUGAUAUUCAAAAUUUUCCCUAACAUGAAGUGGUCGUCAGUCAAAUACAUUUGGCAAAGGCAGCUCUAUCCCAUGGAAGGUUCUGUCACAGUAAAGGUCUUUAAAGUUCCAGGGAGAUACCUGAACUUGAUGGAAGCAGAAGUACUUGCCUCAACCAGCCUCCACAAAAUGCUAAUAAAAGUUUUCCCUUGCUUUUUAAAAUAUCAGGAGUGUGUUUAAACCCCUGUAUAAGAAAUCAAUACCUUUGCAUUUAGGAUGUGAAGAUCCUGCAAGUGAUCGAUACAUUACCCUGGCUGAAAUGGCCUCAAACUCCAACAUGGGAACAGUAAAUUAAGUUAAGAUAUUCUCAACUAUUUCACAACCUCUCCAUGAGCUACCUGAAGAUGACUGGCAGAUUAUCAGUAGUCUACAAAAAUAGUUUAAGAACCUCUAACUAAUUGCAAAGCCUAUCAUAUUCAGCAAGACAGAAUCCAUACCAUAGCCUGCACCAAAGGCCGUAUGUGUGUGUGUGUGUGUGUCUGUGUCUGUGUGUUAAAAUGUAAAGGAAUAAGAGGUGUUCUUGAUAGCUCAUUAAAAGCUACACCAUCUCCAGUCCAGGAUGAUCUGUG